rnacentral:lncRNA from 1 species
CGUUGGCGUAUAUAACAUAAGUGAAACAGUUUUGAACUGGCAUUGGUUAGACAGGCGUUUCUGUGAUCUGCGCUGUGGUUCCAGUCCUGCAGGCGGCGCUGUGGCUGCGCUCAGACUCAUGUAGACGCACAGGAGCUCAGAGAGUGAAUAAAAAAAUUAACUCGUUGUAACUACACAUAUUUUGAUCAGAUAUAUAUGUACAAAAAUGUACCGAGGUACGUCAAACCCGGACUAUCACCGGCCACUGGUACCCCCGUCAGGGUUUGGACACCCCGCAGCAUCUUUUGGACCUCCGCCGUUCUGCCCUCCUUUUGGGGUUCCUCCGGGGCCUCGAUACUGUGUUCCACCGCCCGGUCCUUCUCCGGGACGCCCGUACGGAACAGGGAAUGAAAACUACAACAGAAAAUCUUUUUACGAGAGCCGACCCUUCACCAGCCCCACUGCUGACCAAAGUGGAUCCACGCUGAUCAGCUCUCUGCUCACACCUUCAAACCAGCAUCAGCUUGGUCACUCCUCACAAAACUGGUCAACCCAAAGUCUAGAUGAGCAAAACCAAGAAGUCAGGAAAAAGGCAGAAGAGUUUCUCCGAAUCCUGGAAGCAAGUGACCGGAUUGAGCUGGCAGGAGAUAAAAGUGACAAUGGCACAGGAGACGAGCAUCCAAGCCGAACGCGGAGUCGGAGCAGAGGGAGGAGCCGUCCACGCAGUCGCAGCAGGAGCUGUGGAAGGAGCCGGGCUCGUAGUCGAGCUCGGAGUCGUGGAAAGAGUCGGGCUCGCAGCAGAACACGCAGCCGUAGUCACAGUCGAGGUAAAAGCCGCACAAGGGCCAAAAGUCGUGCGAGGAGUCGUAGCCGCAGUCGUAGUCACGGGAAGAGCGGAACGCACAGUAAGAGUCAGUCACGCCUAAGCCCCAGCCAGACAAAACAUUCUUCCAGAGGGACUGCUGAAGGCUCUAGCAGCACCAGCAGCGGAAUAAGUCUUGGCGGUAGUGCCAUGCCUGAUCUAUUUCAUGGACUAAGACAGAUCCUACAGAACAAGGAUCUAGACAAACACCUGCCUUUGGUCAAGGACGCCCUACUUAGAAACCAGAAUACUGAUGACACAAGGGGAAUGUUUCUGGCAAAUCAGCCUGCAGUUAGAGGCUUCCACAACCCAGAACCGAGGUUAGAAUCUGAAAUCUCUGCUGAACUCUGUUAUGGUUCCCUGCUUCCUCACGAGAGGGCUGGCGGAGACAGCAGCAGCUUUUCCAAUAUCUUAUCCUGGAACACACCCAACCAGCAGCCUGAAACCAAGCCUGCAUUCCAGAGUGUUGAAGAUGAAGAGAAAUUCCUAUAUGGAGAGGAAGAGGAGCGAUCCAAACCUCAGGCUGUGACGGUUCCGUUGGCCCAGACAAGAUCUGUGAGGUCUCCGGUUCAUCAUCUCAGUAAAGAACACCAGACUCAUAGUCUCCAGGAACCCAAAGCUCAUGCAAUGCCUGCUAGCGUGCAGCCCGCUGCUUCUGGCACGACAAAAGUCUCUCCAGAGGAAUGCGAGAAGGUGAGAACCCUCUUGAGGACCAUCGGCCUGAAUCCAGGCAUGGCUGACAUCUGUAAAAUGGCUGCCAGACUAAAGGAAAAAAAGGAAGAACAAGGAAUGCCAGGCUCGCUCUCGAUGCUCAAACCAGCCCUGGAGGCGCUGCAAGCAUUGUCCAGAGCAUCCAAAACAGAUGACAGUCAGAGUAAUCGCUCUGGAAGCAGCCAUUCUAAUCAAGAGCCCAGGCAUGAGGAGAAGAAGAUGGGUGAGAAGGACAGACGAGAGAAACAGAUUCAAAAGAAAAGGAAAGAGUACCUGGUGAAGGAACUGGAGGGUCUGCUGAAACAGGAAGGUGGGGGUGAUUUGAUCCCGGUGAUGGGUUUCUUCUGCCAGUGCUGUGAGGAGUUCUUCAGCGAUCUGAACAGUGCAGAGAGACAUGCAGAAAGUCACAGCCGCAAGGACAGGAACAAGACAACAGGGUCACAGGAGCAGCACAGGGAUGCUAAGAGACAUGAAGACCAGCAUCACUUCUCAUCUCACAGACGAGAGAGCGCACACAGUAGGCCUGAGAGGUCGACGUCCUCACGGGUCUACCAGGACCACAGGGAACGCAGUCCUGACAGAAAGCACACCAGAGACGAAAGAAGUCCUCAUUCUACAGGUAUCGAACUCAAAAACGAGCCCGAGGGCAAAAACAGUAAGGAUGAGAGUAAAGACAAAUACAAAGAGAAAAAGGGAAAAAAUGAUGACGAGGAUGAUGCAGAAUCAACAAAGAGUGAGAAAAAGAAGAAGAAGAAAAUGAAGAGAAAAGAAAAGAAGAAAAAGAAAGACAAGAAAAAAGCAGAGGGUGAUAAGGAUUCCCCUUAGUCAGUGUUUAAGGUCUUCUAAAAGCAUCAGUUGUGUUUGAGCUUUUGUAACUGCACUACAUUUCAGUCAGCGGUCAUUGGUGAGUCUUUUCUGGUUGAACGCCUAAACAUGAUGUAAAUGUUUUUAUGCAUCCUGUAGAUGACAGUCCAGUCGCAUACAGUGUAUUACAGGGACGCUUCACUUAUAUAGAGACGCUUUUAGCAUGUUACAUUUAAAUGUGAUCAACCAGAGAAGAUUUAAAACCUAAAACUCCAGAACUUUCUAAAAUGUGCAGACAUUCUGGUCGUAUAUCAAGCCCAACCUGAAGUUUGUCCCCGUUGUCAUUGUCCUAUGAACAGUAUUCCACAAACCAAACAUACUGCAACGUUCUUGCUCUGAAAAAUGUAAACAUUCAUACUAGGAUUGAAAAAGUUUAUGAUGUAAUAAACGGUUUUUGGAUUAGAUUGGUGGUCA